AUGAAGAACCUCAGACUUGGUC
rnacentral:miRNA from 1 species